CUAAAGUAAAAGUUCCGGAAAGUGGAUUCCGUAGACCAAUCUGCAGCCUUCAAAAUGUCUUCCAAGCGACAUCCAGCCGCCGAUGCUUUUGAGGCCAUGGCGCCUCUGACGGAGUGGGAUGAGAAUACUGAGACAUCGAUCCCGGCCGUAGCUAGCAGCCAUUUGAUCUAGCGUGCUAGUGUCGGGGUAGAUACAGGUAGAUGAGGUUUCUUCAGGGAGAUCAACAGGGGUCCGUCGCGUAGAGGUGCGAGACUCGUAUUCCUUCAGGCAUGAUAUUGGGCAUAGGUUGGGUAAACUCGUG